UACGUAGGGCGCAAGCGUUGUCCGGAAUUAUUGGGCGUAAAGAGCUCGUAGGCGGCCUGUCGCGUCCGCUGUGAAAUCCCCGGGGCUUAACCCCGGGCCUGCAGUGGAUACGGGCAGGCGUGGAGGCAGGCAGGGGGAGAACGGAAUUCCCGGUGUAGCGGUGAAAUGCGCAGAUAUCGGGAGGAACACCGGUGGCGAAGGCGGUUCUCUGGGCCUGUACUGACGCUGAGGAGCGAAAGCGUGGGGAGCGAACAGG
rnacentral:rRNA from 1 species